UGUUGAAAAAUGGUACACAAUCAGGUAUGCCUCAGAAAGGCAUAUCUAAAAACAAAGUUUUAGUUAAAGUCCUUUAAAUUAAGAGGUAAAUUCUACAAUUUUCUGGGAGGUUAUCUUAUUUCAGCUUACUAUAGUAAGGUUUAUUUUAUUAAGGGUUUAAGGGUUAAUUAAGGGUAUAAAGGUUUAUUUUAUUAUAUUAAGGUUAUUUUAUUAAGGUCUUUUAAAAGACUUGGCUGCAUAGGCAGUGUUCCGUUUGCUUGGCGACGAAUCAAACAAAAAAAAGUGUUGUAAUUGUGAUUUGUUAUUUCCAUGACGUUACUGACGUACAAAAACGCCAAUAUAUUUACAUUCUAAGAUACCGUACGAAAAAAAGCGCGGGAAGUGUUGAAUUAAGCGGGCGUCUUUUUUUUGGCUAAACUUUUGAAAAUUAAAUUAAUUUAAUAUUACAGGAUCAGUUAAGUUGUAAAGUGUAUAUAUAUUAGUAGUAUUGAUUAUUUAUAGUUUUAGUUUGUUUUCUUCGCCUGUUAUUGAAUUCUUGGACUCACAUUUGGCGUUCUUCAAGUCAGACUAAAGGUCGAUAUUACAGCACGAUCCAGGUGGAUAUACCUCCUAAACCGUGGUUUUCAAAUCUGACGUUUGGUAAAGCUAUCACAUCGACCCUUAUUCGCAUGAGGCUGGGCCAUGCAUGCAUUCCCUUGCAUUUGGCAAGGCUUAACCUUUUGCCUAGCGAUAUAUGUGAGUGUGGCAAUGACGUUGGGGAUUUUAAUCAUAUAUUCUUUGCCUGUCCUCGAAAUGACCGUUCCGCUUUUAUUUCCUCACUUUUGUCCAUUAAAAUUCCUUUUCCUACUUCAAUUUCUAUCCUUUUAUCUAAUAUCAAUAUUGAUGUAUAUAGAAUAUUAGCUAGUUUCAUUUUUCAUAAUAAUAUAAAAUUGUAACCAUUUA